AGUGCUUCUUGGCCUUUUGGCUAAGAUCAAGUGUAGUAUCAGCCACCAUAUGUGUUGAGAGCAGUUUCUGCCCUCAAACUAGUCUUGUCAGGUUGGAGAAACUCUGAAAACAUUCAUCUGUCACCACCUUUUUUCUGUGGUGUUAAAGAUAUCUCAU
rnacentral:snRNA from 1 species